rnacentral:lncRNA from 1 species
GUGACCUAUCAGGAUUCCCCAAAGUCACCAGGACAGAGUAGCAGACCUGGACUGGGCACCCCAUAGCCAGGUUCUUGGGGCCUUGGCAUCUACCACUAAUGCCCAUCACCAAAACACUGCUCUAAAACGAACUCAUGUGCCCUAGGUGUCCCUUUUUCUGGGUCCAGAGUCCUGGGAGGUUGGGUAGAAUCAAGAGGAAGGCUUUGGUGCACCAAGUAGCCUCUGUUAGCCAUGGCUCUGACCUGAGGCCAGACUGGCCCCUGUGGGCCCUGAGUAAUAAGCCUUGGGGAAGGAUAGAACUGCCUAUAACACCAUGCCGUCCAUUCCAGAGCCUCCAGGGCCCAUCGACAACAGCAGGAUUGCACAGGUCAAAGGCAGUGGUCAUAUCCAGCUAAAGCAGGGUGAGUCUCCCAGGACCCACUAGCCCAGCUGCCCUUUUUACCUUCAGACCGGUCACCACGUUACCACGAGAGUUCCUGUCCUUCCAGAAAUCCCCGCUGUUUGUCUCAAAGUCUUUUAUCCAAAUCUAGGCCCAGAGGCCAUGUAGGGGAUUUCAAGUACUUGGCCUCUGGCAGGUCCUCCAGGUCCUGGACCACAUCCUGCCUCUUCUAUCCCUGACUUGCCUAG